GAUGAACGCUGGCGGCGUGCCUAAUACAUGCAAGUCGAGCGAAUGGAUUAAGAGCUUGCUCUUAUGAAGUUAGCGGCGGACGGGUGAGUAACACGUGGGUAACCUGCCCAUAAGACUGGGAUAACUCCGGGAAACCGGGGCUAAUACCGGAUAACAUUUUGAACCGCAUGGUUCGAAAUUGAAAGGCGCCUUCGGCUGUCACUUAUGGAUGGACCCCCGUCGCAUUGGCAAGUUGGUGAGGUAACGGCUCACCAAGGCAACGAUGCGUAGCCGACCUGAGAGGGUGAUCGGCCACACUGGAACUGAGACACGGCCCAGACUCCUACGGGAGGCAGCAGUAGGGAAUCUUCCGCAAUGGACGAAAGUCUGACGGAGCAACGCCGCGUGAGUGAUGAAGGCUUUCGGGUCGUAAAACUCUGUUGUUAGGGAAGAACAAGUGCUAGAUGAAUAAGCUGACACCUUGACGGUACCUAACCAGAAAGCCACGGCUAACUACGUGCCAGCCGCCGCAGUAA
rnacentral:rRNA from 1 species